AUACGGAGGGGACAAGCGUUAUUCGGAAUCACUGGGCGUAAAGGACGCGUAGGCGGGUUAUUAAGUCGGGUGUGAAAUCCAAUGGCUCAGCCAUUGAACUGCAUUCGAAACUGAUAACCUAGAGUAUGGAAGGGGCAGGUGGAAUUAGUGGUGUAGGGGUAAAAUCCGUAGAUAUCACUAGGAAUACCGAAAGCGAAGGCGACCUGCUGGGACAUUACUGACGCUGAGGCGUGAAAGCGUGGGGAGCAAACAAGAUUAGAUACCCUAGUAGUCC
rnacentral:rRNA from 1 species